UAGCCUAGUGGUUAAGGCUGUGGAUUGCCUAUCCGCAGACGGCGGGUUCGAUUCCCGU
rnacentral:tRNA from 1 species